rnacentral:rRNA from 1 species
UACGUAGGGUGCGAGCGUUAAUCAGAAUUACUGGGCGUAAAGCGUGCGCAGGCGGUCUGUUAAGACCGAUGUGAAAUCCCCGGGCUUAACCUGGGAACUGCAUUGGUGACUGGCAGGCUUUGAGUGUGGCAGAGGGAGGUAGAAUUCCACGUGUAGCAGUGAAAUGCGUAGAGAUGUGGAGGAAUACCGAUGGCGAAGGCAGCCUCCUGGGCCAACACUGACGCUCAUGCACGAAAGCGUGGGGAGCAAACAGG